rnacentral:rRNA from 1 species
UACGGAGGUGGCAAGCGUUGUUCGGAAUUACUGGGUGUAAAGGGUAUGUAGGCGGCCUGUUAAGUCGAUCGUGAAAUCCCUCAGCUCAACUGAGGAAUGGCGAUCGAAACUGGCGGGCUUGAGUGCAGGAGAGGAAAGCGGAAUUCCCGGUGUAAGGGUGAAAUCUGUAGAGAUCGGGAGGAACACCAGUGGCGAAGGCGGCUUUCUGGCCUGCAACUGACGCUGAAAUACGAAAGCUAGGGGAGCAAACAGG